CAGUAGCCGCGGGAAUACGGAGGGUGCAAGCGUUAAUCGGAAUUACUGGGCGUAAAGCGCACGCAGGCGGUUUGUUAAGUCAGAUGUGAAAUCCCCGGGCUCAACCUGGGAACUGCAUUUGAAACUGGCAAGCUAGAGUCUCGUAGAGGGGGGUAGAAUUCCAGGUGUAGCGGUGAAAUGCGUAGAGAUCUGGAGGAAUACCGGUGGCGAAGGCGGCCCCCUGGACAAAGACUGACGCUCAGGUGCGAAAGCGUGGGGAGCAAACAGGAUUAGAUACCCCAGUAGUCCCUGUCUCUUAUAC
rnacentral:rRNA from 1 species